AUUCACUGAACUUAUUUACGGAUCCCACCAUUACCCACCCUUCCUGUCGUGCGACUGCUGUCUAUCUGAUUCUCUCUCCUCUCUCUCCUGGCUGACAGUCGAGUCAGUUCACCUUCCCAAUAACGGCGAUAUCGUGGCCCUCUCCGCCUCCCUCCUAUCAAAUCUCCAUUCGAAUUUGCAGAAACAAGUCGCAGUUCGAACCGAUUUCACUUGCAUGGCCGUCAUCUGAUAUAUCCGAUUUUGGGGACGAUUUGUGGGACUGAACCGGCAUGAAGCGGGAAUUGGCUUGUGUUUUGGAGGGCCAAACUCCGCUCGCUGAUUCAGUGGCUGGGACUCAGGCCGAGUCCCAGACGAGUCCGUGUGUUGUUUAUGAGAGACUUAAUCGUAAGAGGUUUAAGGGUACUAUUGUGAAUGGUGUGAUUGUUUAUACCCGAGAGAGAAGGGCUCGGAUCAAUGGCGGUAAUGGGGUUUCGGA